UACAGAGGUCUCAAGCGUUUGUUCGGAUUCAUUGGGCGUAAAGGGUGUGUAGGUGGCGCCGUAAGUCCGGGUGUGAAAAUUUCGGGAGCUUAACUCCGAAACUGCAUUCGAUACGUGCGGUGCUUGAGGACUGGAGAGGAGACUGGAAUUGAUGGUGUAGCAGUGGAAUGCGUAGAGAUCAAUGAGGAAGACCAGUGGCGA
rnacentral:rRNA from 1 species